CGGGUGAGUAAAGCAUCGGAACGUACCCUAGAGUGGGGGAUAACUAUCCGAAAGGAUAGCUAAUACCGCAUAUUCUAUGAGUAGGAAAGCGGGGGAUCUUCGGACCUCGCGCUCUAGGAGCGGCCGAUGUCAGAUUAGGUAGUUGGUGGGGUAAAGGCCUACCAAGCCGACGAUCUGUAGCGGGUCUGAGAGGAUGAUCCGCCACACUGGGACUGAGACACGGCCCAGACUCCUACGGGAGGCAGCAGUGGGGAAUUUUGGACAAUGGGGGCAACCCUGAUCCAGCCAUGCCGCGUGAGUGAAGAAGGCCUUCGGGUUGUAAAGCUCUUUCGGCCGGGAAGAAAUCGUGUGGGCUAAUACCCUGCAUGGAUGACGGUACCGGAAUAAGAAGCACCGGCUAACUACGUGCCAGCAGCCGCGGUAAUACGUAGGGUGCGAGCGUUAAUCGGAAUUACUGGGCGUAAAGCGUGCGCAGGCGGUUUUUUAAGACAGGCGUGAAAUCCCCGGGCUUAACCUGGGAACUGCGCUUGUGACUGGAAGGCUAGAGUACGGCAGAGGGGGGUGGAAUUCCACGUGUAGCAGUGAAAUGCGUAGAGAUGUGGAGGAACACCGAUGGCGAAGGCAGCCCCCUGGGCCGAUACUGACGCUCAUGCACGAAAGCGUGGGGGGCAAACAGGAUUAGAUACCCUGGUAGUCCACGCCCUAAACGAUGUCAACUAGUUGUUGGG
rnacentral:rRNA from 1 species